UGUGUGUUUCGGGGCUCCAACUGUGAGGCCACUGAUGUUUGGUCUCUGGGCUGCACAGCUGCAGAGAUGCUGAGUAACUCCGUGAGUUACAACAACUUUCAAAUAAGCAUUGAGGGAUAACACAUCAUUGCUUUGUUUCCACAGAUGAGGCAUAUCUACUACACAGUUGGAAAGCUUUCUGAACACAUGCUGUUCCCCGCUCUGUAUGCUCGAGAGUUUAACAGCGUGAGACACACAUCAGACCAACGUAUCAGGAGAUUUACGGUGAGAUUUGCAAUUCUCUUCUUGAAAAUAAGUUUUAACCAAAGAAUCAGGGUAAACCUUCACUAGACUUAAAAAAAAAAAAAAACAUUAAGCUUGUGUUUUAUUCUCUUGUGCCCUAAUUCCUCGUUUUGUUCAGUGAUAUUUUUGUUUGAGCUGCAAAACAGGCCGUUAUGUUCAUCAUUCACUGAAUUUGUGCACAUUCACAGACAACACUGAGCACAACACUCAAGCUGACCAAAUAAAGAUCGUAGUAAAGCAAGAGAGGGGAACAGUUGCAUCAUGUAGCAUCAUAUGAGCCUCGAUUUGUCAUUCAUUCGUUUUUUGUAUUCAUAGUGAUUGUAUCGACUUUUAUUUAGUGUUGCUUUGUGAGUGAGUUGUUAACUUUUAUAGACAGCCAUGUUAACUGCUUCCCCUGGUGAAUAGCCUUAUGCUAAGCUGAGCUGAAUUACUCCAAGCUCUUCAAUCAUCUCUUCUAACUCAUGGGGAAAGUAUCUUUUUAUCAGCAAUGUCAAUUUUUUCAAUACGUAUUUUCUUCUUACUGGUUUAUUUGUCUUAUUUUAUCACAUUCUUGUUUUUGGUCAAAGCCCAAUGUCACAAACUGUCAUAUUUUGUAAAAUUAAUCUAAUGAUAAACAGCUAAAAUUAUAUAUUCCUAUGAGUACACGAGUGGAAAAUGUAAAUCUCCAUGAAUAUGCAUGCACAUUUAUUCUAUAUUUGCAUGUGAGUGGGUGACAGUAUGAGAAUACAGGUUGAAAAGAAGUGGAGAAGUCAAAGCCUGUUUGCUCCACUGAUCCAAGCAAAGUAAGACUGAGCAUAUCUUUGAUACUGAAGUACACUCUUCCAUUAAUGUACAUGAUAUAACACAGAAUGACACGUAUCUUUGAUGAAUUCACUGGUCAUUAAAGCAGCUUCUGACGCCCCUUCAGAGAAAAGCGCCCCAGUGGAUUCAAACCCUCCUGGGAUAGCUCAAGGGAGAUUUUAUCAGCUGUCGUUUCCCUAUUAACCUUAGAUUAUGCAAACUAGUGUGGUUCACAUUCCAGAUGUGGAUAGAUCCUUUCACCACCACCCCCCUUCUGCCAAACAGCUGAGCACUUUCAUGUUUACUCCCACAAUCUGAGGGUCGUGUCUGCCUCUCAUUGCCACCAAUUCUUCUGCUGCUUUCCUCUGUAAUGAGCACUAGUGAGUCAGCAAGGUUAUCUGGCAUGGACACAUGGAAAUAUAUUUUUCUUUUGUUUGCGCAAACUGUGUUUUCUCCACAGGCACAUCAAGCAACAAAGCUGCCACCAAGGCCAGAGUAAACAGAGACCUAUCUAUCCACACAUACUUCUCUGUACAAGCCUGUUCCUUCUACCUGGACUUUGGUUUUCUGUUCUUGCUGGUAUCAGGGGAAAGUUCCUCUCCCGCCUCAGGUACACCUUCAUAAUAAAUAAGAAUAACGUGUACAUGUUUACCUGGUCUGCUGUGAUAGGGAUCCUAUUUCAGUGUGUGUUGUGUAUCAUAUGGAUCCUAAAUGUAAACG